UUUUCCUUCUCUUUUUCUUUCUCGUUUUCUUCUUAUUUUUCUUCCUUUUUCUGUUUCUUUUUUUCUCAUUGUGGUGGGAUCAUUUGGCCUCCCCCAUUUUUCAUUUUUUGUCCAGAGUCUCAUCUCGACUUGUGGGGGAAUCAUAGUCUCCAUCAUCCUUUCCUCACUGGGAGAAAGCCCUAAUAAUGAUGAUCAUCACACUUCUAUUUACUUCCA
rnacentral:lncRNA from 1 species